AUUCGAUUGAUGAUAAAGAAAGAAAUUAGCCUUCCAAGCUAACGAUGCGGGUUCGAUUCCCGC
rnacentral:tRNA from 1 species